rfam:Myotis lucifugus cont2.41008, whole genome shotgun sequence.
GGCGGUUCUUGGGUGAUGCACCCCAGAACCAGAGAGGAAGACGCCCGAUUCCGGGGUGCAUCACCCAAGAACUACC